CACACUGCCUGGGCCUCUGGGGCUGGGGAUGCUGCGCCGCCAGAGCACUUGCAAGAGGGGAAUCCCCUGCAGAAUUUCAUUCUGGUGCAGGAGGGAAAGAACAGAGUCAUGGAGUUGAAGGCCAGAAGGGACUACUAGGUCAUCUGGGCUGACAUCCAAUGCAUCACAGGCGACCAACGCUGUCACACCCCAAUGGCUCCCCAUCCCUCAGGGAGUCUUCAGGGAAGGCAGAUCUGCAUUGUAUGUGGCUAACACUGUUGCAAGCAUUGCAAAGCAUUUUGGGGAGGGUCAACGAUGUGUGAGUGGAGAGUGGAAGUUUCCUUUGCAGAAUACGAGAGGCCGGGGGGAAGAAAGAAGAAGAGCAGAGAACGGGUUAACUCAACACUUCAGCUAGCUCCAUGUGAAGAUAAGACGCUGGCCCCGGCCCAAGGUCACAGGCUUGACGAGAAAUCAGCAGCUGCCCAGCCGUGAGAAGAAGAGAACUAAGUUGAGCAGAGCUGCAGAGAUAGCAGCGAGAACAGUGAGAGCAAAUGAGACGGUGACAGCAAAGGCCAAUAGAAGGGAAAACACAGUCUCCGGAGCCGGGAUGUUUUGGGAAACCGAGGAGGCCACAGCAAGCCGGUUUGGACUGGCACAAAGAGCACCUGAAGCAGAGGUCCCUGAGUGGACUACCUCCCCGCCUGUCCCCUCCCCGUCCUCCCAAGGAGUCCAGGACUUAAAACCCUCCUGAGAACUGGAGCAACUCGGAGAGCACAGCAGAUCCUUGGACGGCCUGGGCCCAGGACAGCACUCCCGUCCACCUCCCACCCCCCUUCUUCUGACAUUACACCCAGACUUGGUCAGUCUGGGUCGUGCCUGUAAUCCAGCUGUGAUGUGGCAGACCAGGUGACAGCUCAUGCCAAGACCCCUCAGUCUCAACUGAAUACUGAUCAUACAUAGCUGGAAGCCGUCUGGCUCACCUGUGGAUAGUAUAGGAUCAGCUACAAGCGUUGUUUUGGGGAGAGAUCUAAGACACAACUGACACUGGAACUUGUGGAAAUCACACUGCUUCCUUUCACGGAAGCCCAGGAAAGCAAGGAGCAUCAAUCAAGUUUCAGAAAGCUGCCCGGCGAACAGGAGAUGAUGGCUUCUUUAAGGCCCAGUGGUAUGUGCUUGCUUUGCUGGUGCCUAGAGCUGGUCCUGAGCGGCGAGCGCAGUGCAGCCGGAGGGCUGCGUCAUGAAGAGGACGCUGUGGUCCUGGGACGUCCAGCAGAGGGCGUCACAGUGGUGAGUCACACCCAUCACAUGGACACAAAACUAAAGCACGUCGAUUGUUUGUGAGUUGUCUCCCCCCCCACUCCUUUUCUGGGCUUCUGUCACUUUGAUGUGUUUACGUGAAUACAGCUGAAAGGGUUUUGAUACUGGAAACCCAUAGUCUCCAAUUUCAGGCCA